GACGAACGCUGGCGGCGUGCUUAACACAUGCAAGUCGAACGGAAAGGCCCUGCUUUUGUGGGGUGCUCGAGUGGCGAACGGGUGAGUAACACGUGAGUAACCUGCCCUUGACUUUGGGAUAACUUCAGGAAACUGGGGCUAAUACCGGAUAGGAGCUCCUGCUGCAUGGUGGGGGUUGGAAAGUUUCGGCGGUUGGGGAUGGACUCGCGGCUUAUCAGCUUGUUGGUGGGGUAGUGGCUUACCAAGGCUUUGACGGGUAGCCGGCCUGAGAGGGUGACCGGCGACAUUGGGACUGAGAUACGGCCCAGACUCCUACGGGAGGCAGCAGUGGGGAAUAUUGCGCAAUGGGGGGAAGCCUGAUACGGAAACGCCGCGUGCGGGAUGACGGCCUUCGGGUUGUAAACCGCUUUCGCCUGUGACGAGGCGUGAGUGACGGUAAUGGGUAAAGAAGCACCGGCUAACUACGUG
rnacentral:rRNA from 1 species